rnacentral:rRNA from 1 species
AUUGAACGCUGGCGGCAGGCUUAACACAUGCAAGUCGAGCGGAGCGAGGGUGCUUGCACCUUAGCUUAGCGGCGGACGGGUGAGUAAUGCUUAGGAAUCUGCCUAUUAGUGGGGGACAACAUUCCGAGAGGGAUGCUAAUACCGCAUACGCCCUAAGGGGGCAAGCAGGGGAGCUUCGGACCUUGCGCUAAUAGAUGAGCCUAGGUCGGAUUAGCUCGUUGGGGGGGUAAAGGCCUACCAAGGCGACGAUCUGUAGCGGGUCUGAGAGGAUGAUCCGGCAGCCUGGAACCGGACCACGGCCCAGACUCCUACGGGGGGCAGCAGGGGGGAAUAUUGGACAAUGGGGGGAACCCUGAGCCAGCCAUGCCGCGUGUGUGAAGAGGGCCUUUUGGUUGUACAGCACUUUAAGCGAGGAGGAGGCGCUCUAGGUUAAUACCCUAGAUGCGUGGACGUUACUCGCAGAAUAAGCACCGGCUAACUCUGUGCCAGCAGCCGCGGUAAUAC